rnacentral:rRNA from 1 species
GACGAACGCUGGCGGCGUGCCUAAUACAUGCAAGUCGAACGCUUCUUUCCUCCCGAGUGCUUGCACUCAAUUGGAAAGAGGAGUGGCGGACGGGUGAGUAACACGUGGGUAACCUACCCAUCAGAGGGGGAUAACACUUGGAAACAGGUGCUAAUACCGCAUAACAGUUUAUGCCGCAUGGCAUAAGAGUGAAAGGCGCUUUCGGGUGUCGCUGAUGGAUGGACCCGCGGUGCAUUAGCUAGUUGGUGAGGUAACGGCUCACCAAGGCCACGAUGCAUAGCCGACCUGAGAGGGUGAUCGGCCACACUGGGACUGAGACACGGCCCAGACUCCUACGGGAGGCAGCAGUAGGGAAUCUUCGGCAAUGGACGAAAGUCUGACCGAGCAACGCCGCGUGAGUGAAGAAGGAUUUCGGAUCGUAAAACUCUGUUGUUAGAGAAGAACAAGGACGUUAGUAACUGAACGUCCCCUGACGGUAUCUAACCAGAAAGACACGGCUAACUACGUG